CCCUCAAUUCCUCAGGAUGUGAGGAAAUGAAGCAAAGGAAAAAUACCUCUCCCCUCCCACCUUGAGCAUAGCUCCCUGUCAGCACCGCAGCCUGGGAACCAAGGUGGAGAGAAGAUGUGAUCACACUGCUCUUGGCUAUUGGGACUGUCACCAGACAGGGUCUGAAGGGGUCUCUGAAGUGGAGCUGGGGAACCUCAUCUUACUCCACCCACAGGCUACCUGGUUCCACACUACAGAAGCAGAGGGGAACAUAAAGGCCAUUGCCCUGAGCUGCAGAAGUGAAAAACAGACAGAGGCCCUCUCUCAGGCUCCCUGAUGAAAACUGAAGCCCACUGGAAAAGUGAAGAGACUCUCUGCAAUAAAGGCACACCCGACCACCGUGCUUG
rnacentral:lncRNA from 1 species